rnacentral:rRNA from 1 species
AAGCGUUAUUCGGAUUUACUGGCGUAAAGGGCGCGUAGGCGGNUUGGUAAGUCAGAUGUGAAAGCCCACGGCUNAACUGUGGAAGUGCUUUGAAACUGUCAAGCUUGAGUACCAGAGGGGGAAGUGAAUUCCCGGUGUAGAGGUGAAAUCCGUAGAUAUCGGGAGAAUACCCGAAGGCGACUUCCUGGCUAGAUACUCACGCUGAGGCGUAAAAGCGUGGGGAGCAAACAUUUCCGAAUACCCUGGUAGUCCACACCGUAACGAUGGAUACUAGGUGUCGGGGACUUGAUCUUCGGUGCCGUAGCUAACGCGUUAAGUAUCCCGCCUGGGGAGUACGGUCGCAAGGCUGAAACUCAAAGAAAUUGACGGGGGCCCGCACAAGGUGGAGUAGUUUAAUUCGAUGCAACGGAAGACUUACCUGGCUUGACAUCCUGGGAAUCCUGCAGAGAUGCGGAGUGCCCUUCGGGGAUCCAGAGACAGUGCUGCAUGGCUGUCGUCAGCUCGUGCCGUGAGGGUUGGGUUAAGUCCGCAAAGCGCAACCCUUGCCUUUAGUUGCCAGCAGUUCGGGCUGGCCACUCUAAAGGGACUGCCGGUGUUAAACCGGAGGAAAAGGUGGGUGACGUCAAGUCCUUAUGGCCCCUAUGACCAGGGCUACACACGUCCUACAAUGGCCGAUACAAAGGGCAGCGACACUGCGAGGUGGAGCUAAUCCCAUAAAAUCGGGCUCAGUCCGGAUUGGAGUCUGCAACUCGACUCCAUGAAGUUGGAAUCGCUAGUAAUCGAGGAUGGAUCAGCAUGCCGGGGUGAAUACGUUCCCGGGCCUUGUACACACCGCCCGUCACACCACGAAAGUCGGUUCUACCCGAAGUCGCCGGACUAACCCUUGGGAGGUAGGCGCCUACGGUAGGGCUGGUAAUUGGGGUGAAGUCGUAACAAGGUAACC